UACGAAGGGAGCUAGCGUUGUUCGGAAUCACUGGGCGUAAAGCGCACGUAGGCGGACUCUUAAGUCAGGGGGUGAAAUCCUGGAGCUCAACUCCAGAACUGCCUUUGAUACUGAAGAUCUUGAGUUCGGGAGAGGUGAGUGGAACUGCGAGUGUAGAGGUGAAAUUCGUAGAUAUUCGCAAGAACACCAGUGGCGAAGGCGGCUCACUGGCCCGAUACUGACGCUGAGGCACGAAAGCGUGGGGAGCAAACAGG
rnacentral:rRNA from 1 species